rnacentral:rRNA from 1 species
GUCCACGCCCUAAACGAUGAUGACUAGUUGUUGGGGAGUUAAAUCCCUUAGUAACGCAGCUAACGCGUGAAGUCAUCCGCCUGGGGAGUACGGUCGCAAGAUUAAAACUCAAAGGAAAUUGACGGGGGCCCGCACAAGCGGUGGAUGAUGUGGUUUAAUUCGACGCAACGCGAAAAACCUUACCUACCCUUGACAUGUGCGGAAUCCUGCAGAGAUGCAGGAGUGCCCCGAAAGGGAACCGCAACACAGGUGCUGCAUGGCUGUCGU